rnacentral:snRNA from 1 species
UUUUAACAUGUUUCAUGCGAUUU